UAGGAACUUGGAAACAGGGAUUAGCUAAAAGGUGCAUCAGAGAGUUCGAAUCCAAACAGAACAUAGACUUGCACGACCGAAUCAAGUGUACGGCGACGGGCAGGGGGUUGAACAAAACGAUCGGACCUCCUGCGGUCGACUGGGACCUUCUCGAAUUUAAAGUCAUUUGCGACAAUGCAACGGUCGCAAUAAAACCCUGCGUUAUUGCUCUUUGUUUUUUAACAGGACGGGCAGACGGGAUAGCUGGAGAGGGAAAGGGAGAGAUAGAAAAAAAUCCGUAACAACAACGACAACAGCAACAACAACAAAAGUCUGUCAACUAGCUUGCAAGCUAGCUAGCUGGCUAGUUAAGUGUUCCUCCGAUUGCAAUACAGAGAAGAAGCAGGAAACUUCGUAAACAGAGCUGUUCCAGUUUGCCCUCAAGCUGAUCCAGUUUACCCCCGUAGUCUUGCCUCAGACAGAGGGGCUGCCAUCCUGUACGCGACGGUCAGAGAGAAGAAUCAAGAGCAAGAGAGAGUGGAGAGAGAAGGGACCAUCGGCUUGCUUUAAGUCCCGUCUUGUCUGUCUGGAAAUCAUGGCCUUUAAAAGGUGGAUUCCAUGGAGGACACA